rnacentral:lncRNA from 1 species
ACGGCUUCUAUUGUAAGAGGUUGUACAUGUAACGAUUAGUAGUGUGGCAAUAGACGUUAUUACCACGGCAAGGCUAGUAAGUCUCCAAUUAUUGUGAUGGAAAAAAUGUUUUGUUUUUUUUUGGAAUUUUUUGAUUGCUGAAUUUCAGCCACCCCUAUAAAUAUUGUAUUUGUAGAAACACAUCCCCUACAGAUGCUCUUUAGCCACCGUUAAAAAUAGUAUAUGCAGUAGUG